AACGAACGCUGGCGGCAUGCCUAACACAUGCAAGUCGAACGAGACCUUCGGGGCUAGUGGCGCACGGGUGCGUAACGCGUGGGAACCUGCCCUUAGGUUCGGAAUAACUCCCCGAAAGGGGUGCUAAUACCGGAUGAUGUCUUCGGACCAAAGAUUUAUCGCCUUUGGAUGGGCCCGCGUUGGAUUAGCUAGUUGGUAGGGUAAAAGCCUACCAAGGCGACGAUCCAUAGCUGGUCUGAGAGGAUGAUCAGCCACACUGGGACUGAGACACGGCCCAGACUCCUACGGGAGGCAGCAGUGGGGAAUAUUGGACAAUGGGCGAAAGCCUGAUCCAGCAAUGCCGCGUGAGUGAUGAAGGCCUUAGGGUUGUAAAGCUCUUUUACCCGGGAUGACAAUGACAGUACCGGGAGAAUAAGCUCCGGCUAACUCCGUG
rnacentral:rRNA from 1 species